CUGGAGUUGACUGUUGGUGAUUGUAAUUUGCUUCACUCCAUCAUGUGAUGGUGCAAGGAUCAGUGAAGGGUGAUGCAAGGACCAGUCAAGAGAAAAUACACACUGAUCUUUCCACUUGUUUGAAAUUUCCAAAAAAUGAAAUUGCCUGUUGAAAAGAAAAUUCCCAUGGUAGAUCUGAGUGAAAUCUUUCCACUUAUAUGAGUGAUCCAAAUCCCUUGGAAAGGAGAGGUUUCAGUGCUUGGUUACUACCAAAAUCCACAAUUUUCUCACUGACUGGCUGGAGAGGAAAAAGGAGCUGACACUGAGAGAUGACAAAGGAAAGAUCUGUCAACUGAAACUCUACCCAGAACUAUUUUCUGUACAAAAUAAAAUGGGGUGGUGAAGUACCAGAGUUUGCCAGGUAUGAUCCUGACAUGCUACAAAAAGAGCAAUCAUAGUUGUGCACGUCUGGUGGUCCAAAGAAUGUUCAGCCUCCUGCCUGCUUCAUUAGCCAGGAGACAGCAGUACAAGUUAGUUAUGUGCCUUUGUGAGGCUUUACAAAAACCUGUGCAUUUUAUAUGAUCCUAAUCUGCAAAAAAUUAUUCAUGGCUUUGUUUCUAUUGUUGUAAGAAAUUCCAGUUAUACAUACGCAUAUUUGCAGAAUGUAGAUGUCUCACGAUAUAUGCCAAGUACAGCCCCCAGGCUGUAUCAAGUUAUAUCAGCUCCAUGUCCAUCAUCAUUGUCAGAUGGACAAUGUCUAUGAUUUAAUAAGCACUGUUCUGAUUAUUCAUGUACUUGUGUUUUCUUUUGUUGCUUUAUGUGAGUUUGAAUGAAUGAUGCAGCAGCU